UUGAACGCUGGCGGCAGGCCUAACACAUGCAAGUCGAGCGGAUGAGGGGAGCUUGCUCCUGGAUUCAGCGGCGGACGGGUGAGUAAUGCCUAGGAAUCUGCCUGGUAGUGGGGGAUAACGUCCGGAAACGGGCGCUAAUACCGCAUACGUCCUGAGGGAGAAAGUGGGGGAUCUUCGGACCUCACGCUAUCAGAUGAGCCUAGGUCGGAUUAGCUAGUUGGUGGGGUAAAGGCCUACCAAGGCGACGAUCCGUAACUGGUCUGAGAGGAUGAUCAGUCACACUGGAACUGAGACACGGUCCAGACUCCUACGGGAGGCAGCAGUGGGGAAUAUUGGACAAUGGGCGAAAGCCUGAUCCAGCCAUGCCGCGUGUGUGAAGAAGGUCUUCGGAUUGUAAAGCACUUUAAGUUGGGAGGAAGGGCAGUAAGUUAAUACCUUGCUGUUUUGACGUUAACAACAGAAUAAGCACCGGCUAACUUCGUG
rnacentral:rRNA from 1 species